CUGGACGCGGCGGUGCAGCCACGUCUGAGCACUGGCCCUUCUUUUGCAGUGGAACCUGGUGUGCGAGGAUGACUGGAAGGCCCCCCUGACCGUCUCCCUCUUCUACGUGGGGGUCCUCAUCGGCUCCUUCAUCUCGGGGCAGCUCUCGGACAGGUUUGGCAGGAAGAAUAUCCUUUUUGUGACGAUGGCCGUGCAGACUGGCUUCAGCUUCGUGCAGAUCUUCUCCACCAGCUGGGAGAUGUUCACGGUGCUCUUCCUCAUAGUGGGGAUGGGACAGAUCUCCAACUACGUGGUGGCCUUCAUACUGGGCACAGAAAUUCUUGGCAAAUCAGUUCGUAUUCUAUUCUCUACGUUAGGAGUUUGCAUAUUUUUUGCAAUUGGCUACAUGUUGCUGCCCCUGUUUGCUUACUUCAUCAGAGACUGGCGGAUGC